rnacentral:rRNA from 1 species
UACGUAGGGGGCAAGCGUUGUCCGGAUUUAUUGGGCGUAAAGAGCGUGUAGGCGGCCAGGUAGGUCCGUUGUGAAAACUCGAGGCUCAACCUCGAGCUGUCGGUGGAAACCGUGUGGCUAGAGUCCGGAAGAGGAGAGUGGAAUUCCCGGUGUAGCGGUGAAAUGCGCAGAUAUCGGGAAGAACACCCGUGGCGAAGGCGGCUCUCUGGGACGGUACUGACGCUGAGACGCGAAAGCGUGGGGAGCGAACAGG